CAGCAGAAUGAAAGUUAGAGAGUGAUUGGUGCUCAAUGAUCCAUUCUGUUCCGCAACUACCCAAGGCAAGGAGAAGCUACAAGCCCCAUGAGGACUAAGAUGCAGGAAUUAUAGACUAAAGUGAAGGAGAAAUGAGGCCGGCAAGCAAAGAAACACAUCUCCGGCGAAUCACGUGCAAGUUUAUGGAUUGAGUGGCCCACAAGUCAGCUAAAACCGACUCAAAGUGGGGCCAACCACCCUGGAACUGCCUUAGGGGCGCACAAGACAGUCACUGGAGAAAGGUGGUUGCGAGGAGGUGGGACCAAGGGUUCGGUUCGGCCGAACCGCCAUCAGCUCCACUCAUCCUGGCCCUCCACGUUGUGCUCCCACAUUGGCCUCCUAAUGGCAGUUAUGGAGGGUCGGUUGCGAUAACCGUCAUACAAAUCGUCAUUAGGUGGUUAUAAAUGGAGUUCUACUCCUCACUUCACAAUACACACUCAACGAGCAAUUCCCUCUUCCACUUUGUAUUAUCUGUAGUUUCUAGUAGGAAUAAAGCUUAGGAGAUUCGGUAUUAUAGUCUUCUCGGAGUUCUUGGCAUGUCUCUCUUACUUUGUUCUUUGUCUAAGACUAUAGUUGAAUUAAUAGAACUAUCUUCUUUAUUUAUUUA